rnacentral:rRNA from 1 species
UACACACCGCCCGUCGCUCCUACCGAUUGAAAGAUAUGAUGAAUUGUUCGGACAAUUAAAUAAGUACAAUUUUAUUUUUUUGGAAGGGCCGUAAAUCCUAUCUUUUAAAGGAAGGAGAAGUCGUAACAAGGUUUCCGUAGGUGAACCUGCGGAAGGAUCAUUU